CCUACGGGAGGCUGCAGUGAGGAAUAUUGGUCAAUGGCCGCAAGGCUGAACCAGCCAAGUCGCGUGAGGGAAGACGGUCCUAUGGAUUGUAAACCUCUUUUGUCGGGGAGUAAAGGUCUCCACGUGUGGAGAUUUGCAUGUACCUGAUGAAAAAGCAUCGGCUAACUCCGUGCCAGCAGCCGCGGUAAUACGGAGGAUGCGAGCGUUAUCCGGAUUUAUUGGGUUUAAAGGGUGCGCAGGUGGAAUGUAAAGUCAGCGGUAAAAUUUCGGGGCUCAACCCCGGAGUGCCGUUGAAACUGGCGUUCUUGAGUGUGCGUGAAGUAGGCGGAAUGCGUGGUGUAGCGGUGAAAUGCAUAGAUAUCACGCAGAACUCCGAUUGCGAAGGCAGCAUACCGGCGCAUAACUGACGCUGAUGCACGAAAGCGUGGGUAUCGAACAGGAUUAGAUACCCUGGUAGUC
rnacentral:rRNA from 1 species